UGGCGCAGUGGAUAGCGUGUUGGGCUCAUAACCCAAAGAUCCCUUGAUCGAAACAAGG
rnacentral:tRNA from 1 species